rnacentral:rRNA from 1 species
UACGGAGGGUGCAAGCGUUACUCGGAAUCACUGGGCGUAAAGCGCGCGCAGGCGGCUAGAUAAGUUGGAAGUGAAAUCCUAUGGCUCAACCAUAGAACUGCUUCCAAAACUGUUUAGCUAGAGUCUGGGAGGGGAAGAUGGAAUUAGUAGUGUAGGGGUAAAAUCCGUAGAGAUUACUAGGAAUACCAAAAGCGAAGGCGAUCUUCUGGAACAGUACUGACGCUGAGGCGCGAAAGCGUGGGGAGCAAACAGGAUUAGAUACCCUGGUAGUCCACGCCCUAAACGAUGAAUGUUAGUCGUCGGGACUCUAGUAGUUUCGGUGAUGCAGUUAGCACAUUAAACAUUCCGCCUGGGGAGUACGGUCGCAAGAUUAAAACUCAAAGGAAUAGACGGGGACCCGCACAAGUGGUGGAGCAUGUGGUUUAAUUCGAAGAUACGCGAAGAACCUUACCUAGCCUUGACAUAUUUUAGAACUCCGCAGAGAUGUAGAGGUGCCUUCGGGAGCUAAUAUACAGGUGCUGCACGGCUGUCGUCAGCUCGUGUCGUGAGAUGUUGGGUUAAGUCCCGCAACGAGCGCAACCCUCGUUCUUAGUUACUAACGGUUCGGCCGAGGACUCUAAGAAGACUGCCUUCGUAAGGAGGAGGAAGGUGAGGACGACGUCAAGUCAUCAUGGCCCUUACGGCUAGGGCAACACACGUGCUACAAUGGUUAGGACAAUGAGACGCAAUACCGCGAGGUGGAGCAAAUCUAUAAACCUAAUCUCAGUUCGGAUUGUAGUCUGCAACUCGACUACAUGAAGCUGGAAUCACUAGUAAUCGUAGAUCAGCUAUGCUA